GCGCUUGCUUCGUCAGCACAUACACUAAAAUUGGAAUAAUACAGAGAAGAUUGGUGUGGCCUCUGUGCAAAAGAUGACACAAAUUCAUGAAGAAAAGGUGAUAUUGUCU